rnacentral:pre_miRNA from 1 species
AGGAAGAGACAGGACAAAGGCUGGGAACAGGCAGGGCACGAAUGGAGCUAUCAACAGAAAAUGGUAAAGUGAGAAUGAAAAAGAGAGAGAUCUGUUAGGGCUACGCUCAUGCACUGCCUCUUCCCUGGCUCUGUCUCUUUCCUAUUC